rnacentral:lncRNA from 1 species
AUCAAGAAGACUUUGAUUUUAAGUAAUUUUUAUUAUUAAGUUUUUGUAAAAUAACUUUGCUUAACAAAAAAAAAUGUAAACAAGCUAAUUUUCCAAUAGGCCUGGUUGUAAAUUUGCAGGGAUUUACUCAAUCGUUAAGUGAGGAACAAUAAUAGAGUUAAAAUAUGGACUGGUUUGUUCUAUUUACAACCUCAGAUGUCAUAUGGCUUCAACUUUCCUGCCAAAUGGAUUAUCAAAAGUGCCAGAAGAUCAUAAUUGAAUAGUACAAGAUUUUACAUCAUCAGAGAGAGAAAUUUAGGAUAAAUUCAUAAAAAAUUGGUACAAAUUACUUAGGGUAUUCAGUUUAAUGACUUGGAGAAUCUCCAAUUUCAUCAAUCUUUGACCAGGAUCCAAUAAUGAAACAAAAGGAGGGAUUCAAACCCAAUACUCGGACCAAUCACAUUGAAUCGUGGAAGUCCUCAAAAGGACCUAUUAGAGAUCUUACAAAAAAGAAAUACCAGUUGAUAAAGAGAACAGAGAACUGGUAUGUAGGUUUAACUUAUGUUGUGUUUUAUGAAUGUUUGUACUCAUGUGCCAAAACAAACCUCUAUAAUUCCAUCUGAUGAUAUGGAGACUUUGGAACUCCUUCUCUGAUAAAUCCAGGUACAAUCUUAUUGUUAAUUGAUAUAACUUUGGUCUAAACUUUUAU